rnacentral:rRNA from 1 species
CACGUAGGGCGCAAGCGUUGUCCGGAUUCAUUGGGCGUAAAGGGUGCGUAGGCGGCGCGGUAAGUCGGGUGUGAAAUCUUGGAGCUUAACUCCGAAACUGCAUUCGAUACUGCCGUGCUUGAGGACUGGAGAGGAGACUGGAAUUUACGGUGUAGCGGUGAAAUGCGUAGAUAUCGUAAGGAAGACCAGUGGCGAAGGCGGGUCUCUGGACAGUUCCUGACGCUGAGGCACGAAGGUCAGGGGAGCAAACGGG